rnacentral:rRNA from 1 species
GUUAUAUGGUCAAGCGAAUAAGCGCACACGGUGGAUGCCUUGGCGGUCAGAGGCGAUGAAGGACGUGGCAGCCUGCGAAAAGUAUCGGGGAGCUGGCAACAAGCUUUGAUCCGGUAAUGUCCGAAUGGGGAAACCCACCCGCUUGCGGGUAUCCUGCAGUGAAUACAUAGCUGCUGGAAGCGAACCUGGUGAACUGAAAUAUCUAAGUAACCAGAGGAAAAGAAAUCAACCGAGAUUCCGUAAGUAGCGACGAGCGAACGCGGACUAGCCCUUAAGCUGGAUUGGUUCUAGGAAAACGCUCUGGAAAGAGCGGCCAUAGAAGGUGAUAGCCCUGUAUCUGAAAGGGCCAUUCCAGUGAAGACGAGUAGGGCGGGGCACGUGAAACCCUGUCUGAACAUGGGGGGACCAUCCUCCAAGGCUAAAUACUACUGACCGACCGAUAGUGAACCAGUACCGUGAGGGAAAGGCGAAAAGAACCCCGGAGAGGGGAGUGAAAUAGAACCUGAAACCGUGUGCGUACAAGCAGUAGGAGCUCCGCAAGGAGUGACUGCGUACCUUUUGUAUAAUGGGUCAGCGACUUACUGUUCGUGGCAAGCUUAACCGUAUAGGGGAGGCGAAGGGAAACCGAGUCUGAUAAGGGCGCAUAGUCGCGGGCAGUAGACCCGAAACCGGGUGAUCUAGUCAUGCCCAGGGUGAAGGUGCGGUAACACGCACUGGAGGCCCGAACCCACUCCCGUUGCAAAGGUAGGGGAUGAGGUGUGAUUAGGAGUGAAAAGCUAAUCGAACCCGGAGAUAGCUGGUUCUCCUCGAAAGCUAUUUAGGUAGCGCCUCAUAUGUAUCCUCUCGGGGGUAGAGCACUGUUAUGGCUAGGGGGUCAUCGCGACUUACCAAACCAUUGCAAACUCCGAAUACCGAGACGGACUGUAUGGGAGACACACGGCGGGUGCUAACGUCCGUCGUGAAAAGGGAAACAACCCAGACCCACAGCUAAGGUCCCAAAUUUUGUGCUAAGUGGAAAACCAUGUGGAAAGGCACAGACAGCCAGGAGGUUGGCUUAGAAGCAGCCACCCUUUAAAGAAAGCGUAAUAGCUCACUGGUCGAGUCGGUCUGCGGGGAAGAUUUAACGGGGCUAAGCACAGAACCGAAGCUUGGGGUGCAUAACUUUGUUAUGCGCGGUAGAGGAGCGUUCCGUAAGCCGUUGAAGGUGGAUUGAGAAGUCUGCUGGAGGUAUCGGAAGUGCGAAUGCUGACAUGAGUAACGAUAAUGCGGGUGAAAAACCCGCACGCCGAAAGCCCAAGGUUUCCUUGCGCAACGUUAAUCGGCGCAGGGUGAGUCGGCCCCUAAGGCGAGGACGAAAGUCGUAGUCGAUGGGAAGCAGGUUAAUAUUCCUGCACCUCGCGUAAGUGCGAUGGAGGGACGGAGAAGGUUAGGUGUACCAGGCGUUGGUUGUCCUGGGGAAAGGCGGUAGGUUUGGAUCUUUGGCAAAUCCGGGAUCCUUUAAGACCGAGCACCGAGACGAGCCUUUAAGGCGAAGUCACUGAUACCACGCUUCCAGGAAAAGCUCCUAAGCUUCAGCUUACGCAGACCGUACCGUAAACCGACACAGGUGGGUAGGAUGAGAAUUCUCAGGCGCUUGAGAGAACUCGGGUGAAGGAACUAGGCAACAUGGCACCGUAACUUCGGGAGAAGGUGCACCCUUUUUGGUGGCUCGUGCGAGCUAUAGCUGAAGAGGGUCGCAGUAACCAGGCCGCUGCGACUGUUUAUCAAAAACACAGCACUCUGCAAACACGAAAGUGGACGUAUAGGGUGUGACGCCUGCCCGGUGCUGGAAGGUUAAUUGAUGGGGUCAGCCGCAAGGCGAAGCUCUUGAUCGAAGCCCCAGUAAACGGCGGCCGUAACUAUAACGGUCCUAAGGUAGCGAAAUUCCUUGUCGGGUAAGUUCCGACCUGCACGAAUGGCGUAACGACAGCGGCGCUGUCUCCACCCGAGACUCAGUGAAAUUGAAAUCGCUGUGAAGAUGCAGCGUUCCCGUGGCAAGACGGAAAGACCCCGUGAACCUUUACUAUAGCUUUACACUGAACGUUGAGUUCGUCUGUGUAGGAUAGGUGGGAGGCUAUGAAACCAUGGCGCUAGCUGUGGCGGAGCCAUCCUUGAAAUACCACCCUGUCGUGCUUGACGUUCUAACCUGGGCCCAUUAUCUGGGUCGGGGACCGUGUAUGGUGGGUAGUUUGACUGGGGCGGUCUCCUCCUAAAGAGUAACGGAGGAGCUCGAAGGUACGCUCAGCGCGGUCGGACAUCGCGCACUGUGUGCAAAGGCAUAAGCGUGCUUGACUGCAAGAUCGACGGAUCAAGCAGGUAGGAAACUAGGACUUAGUGAUCCGGUGGUUCUGUAUGGAAGGGCCAUCGCUCAACGGAUAAAAGGUACUCCGGGGAUAACAGGCUGAUACCGCCCAAGAGUUCAUAUCGACGGCGGUGUUUGGCACCUCGAUGUCGGCUCAUCACAUCCUGGGGCUGUAGUCGGUCCCAAGGGUAUGGCUGUUCGCCAUUUAAAGUGGUACGCGAGCUGGGUUCAGAACGUCGUGAGACAGUUCGGUCCCUAUCUGCCAUGGGCGUUGGAGAUUUGAGAGGGGCUGCUCCUAGUACGAGAGGACCGGAGUGGACGAACCUCUGGUGUUCCGGUUGUCACGCCAGUGGCAUUGCCGGGUAGCUAUGUUCGGAAGCGAUAACCGCUGAAAGCAUCUAAGCGGGAAGCGCGCCUCAAGAUGAGAUCUCCCGGGGCACAAGCCCCCUGAAGGAACCAUGUAGACUACGUGGUUGAUAGGUCAGGUGUGUAAGUACAGCAAUGUAUUGAGCUAACUGAUACUAAUGAUCCGUGCGGCUUGACCAUAUAACCU